GACGAACGCUGGCGGCGUGCUUAACACAUGCAAGUCGAACGGAAAGGCCCUGCGUUUGUGGGGUGCUCGAGUGGCGAACGGGUGAGUAACACGUGAGUAACCUGCCCUUGACUUUGGGAUAACUUCAGGAAACUGGGGCUAAUACCGGAUAGGAGCUCCUGCUGCAUGUUGGGGAUUGGAAAGUUUCGGCGGUUGGGGAUGGACUCGCGGCUUAUCAGCUUGUUGGUGGGGUAGUGGCUUACCAAGGCUUUGACGGGUAGCCGGCCUGAGAGGGUGAACGGCCACAUUGGGACUGAGAUACGGACCAGACUGCUACGGGCGGCAGCAGUGGGGAAUAUUGCGCAAUGGGCGGAAGCCUGAUGCAGAAACGCCGCGUGCGGGAUGACGGCCUUCGGGUUGUAAACCGCUUUCGCCUGUGACGAAGCGUGAGUGACGGUAAUGGGUAAAGAAGCACCGGCUAACUACGUG
rnacentral:rRNA from 1 species